UCUUUUUAGAAUAUAAAACAGUAUUCGUUUCUAAGAUCGACCAAUAGAAGAACGUUUAUUUUCAUACCUAUUUUUUGAUUGGUGCGUUUUGAAUGCAGAUGUUACGAACAAAAAGAGAAAGAAAGAGUAUCGUAUUAUGCCUAACGUAACGACAUCAGUUGCUUGACGGUUGCAAAGUGAACUACAUAUGAAAGUUACGAAAGAGUCGGAUAUCAAAUUGUUAAAGGCACUAUUAAAACAUGUUUAUAAUUUGGCAUCUUAUUGAUUAAAACUGUGGUACGUUCGUUUAUGUUAUCGACGGAGCAUCUAACUUGCAACGUUCAGCGCCAUAUUUACAGAAGAAAGACGAACUAUCAUCAUAGGUUUUAUUAUAUUACGAGGGCGUUAAAGAGGCAAAGCCAUCCAUCCAUCAUUCCUCGUCAACGAUGCAUCAUACUCUUCAAACAUAAAUCUGCUUGAAGUAAGGCAAUCGUCGAUAGGAAGAAUUCAAAUAUCGUCGCACGUCGGUUGUCAUCUUUCGAAAUCGUUCGUUCGAGGUACAUUUUUCCCACAAUCUUUUUGCAAGAACAUCGAUGUAGAUAUACACGUAGAUGAAAAAUGUGGAUAUUUAUAAAGGUAAUAUAAAGGUCGCUGUCAUAAAGUUUGAAAAACGUUAUCUUCUAAAGAAUGUUCCAAAUUUGUUGGAAACGACCUACUUUGUUCCUCGAUGGAUUUGGUGAAAAUUAAAUUUGAAAGGGAACUAGGUUGUCAGGGAAAGAAUAUGUAAAAAGGGCAAGUCCAUUUGUUCAUUGUUAAACCAUUAAAAUCUAUUAUCAAAAUUUAAGUUUUUCUCACUGAAACGAUACGUGAUUCUCAAUUUUGUGUGUGAUUGAUCCACUUCAAUUUUACUAUUUGCAGGAUCUCGAUAAUAUCGUAUUAAUUUGGAAAAGUACGUUCGUUUUCUGUAGAACUGUCGAGUGGAAGCUUUUCGCGUAUUACCUUUUGAAUCCGAUACGAAUUCACGACCUGGAUCUCAGAUGUAACAGGUGUAUGUACAUAUCGUAAAUACAAUAAUAUCGCGACAUGAAAAACGUAAAAAUAUCGAACUUAAUAGGCCAGGAGAUAUGAAUAAUCUUUCUGUACAGUAUCUACUGUUUGCUUUUUCUAUCUAUUUUAAUAUCUACGUUUCUUCAAAUGUUUUACUGAGAAUAUCACGAGAACGAUUGUCACUUGUAAUCGUGGAAAAUAUUGGAUCUCUAAAUGAGACGCAACAAAUAUUCUGCGAAUUCUCAAACGAUUACAAAAUGAACAAAUAAUUCUUCGUCAUUCCUCAUCGUUCUUUUAUUUUAUUCAUUUA